rnacentral:rRNA from 1 species
UACGUAGGGUGCGAGCGUUAAUCGGAAUUACUGGGCGUAAAGUGUGCGCAGGCGGCGCCGCAAGUCGAGUGUGAAAUCCCCCGGCUUAACCUGGGAACUGCGUCUGAUACUGGAAGGCUUGAGGAUGGGAGAGGGAUGUAGAAUUCCAGGUGUAGCGGUGAAAUGCGUAGAUAUCUGGAGGAAUACCGGUGGCGAAGGCGGCAUCCUGGACCAUUACUGACGCUGAGGCGCGAAAGCUAGGGGAGCAAACGGG